rnacentral:lncRNA from 1 species
UUUUUUUUUUCUUUUUUUUGGUUGUCAUUUGCAAUUUAAGCUCGUGCAGACAAGGAGCGAUAAUUUUUUUUUGUUUUUUGUUUUUUUUUGUGUGUCAUUCGCAGUUUAAACUAGUGCGGACAAGAAACAUUUUGACUCUUGAGUGGUCUACAUAAAUUUAGACGGGUUGCAUGCCCCUAACAAAGGUGUUGAGGACACCACUUCAAGGUGUUCAAAAAAGAUGGUUGCAUAAUUUGACUAAGCCACGUCAUCUUCAACAUCUAAACAUAUCUUUCCUUGUUGUGCUAGCUUCAUGAUGAGGUCUUUCAAGACGAAGCCCUUCUCCAGGAUGACCGAUGACACGGUGGUACUUGUAAUACUUAGGAUCAUUGACACGAUGCAUCUCUUCUGGACGCUUGCAGUCUGGCAAUUUGAUUAGUUCUUUUUCAAGCAAGUUUUCCAACAUCUCAACAACAUCGAAAUCUGGAAAAGGGUAACUUUUAGCUUCCAAGUCAUUUAGAGUUUGCCUCCUUGCUUGAUCUUGCAG